UCUAGUUUAGUUGGUCACGAACUCACAAAGAGGCAACACAUCGUCAUUACUUAGGUGACGGAGUUUGGGCAAAAUUGGGAAAAUAUAUAACUAAAAGACCUCGAACAUCAGCCAAUAACCCAUACUAAUAAAAAUCAAGCAGUAGUUAUAUCUGGAGACUUAUUUACACGAAAGGAAAAAAGGUUAUAAUACCGCCGAUGUGUUGCUUUGCUCAAAUUCCGUCCCGUAGCUACUUGUCACAUAGACACUUAGCCUAGUCAAUUUAGAUAGAUUGUAUCAUCAUUUAAUGUGCCAUCAUAUAAAUAUGUGCCAGUUACUGUAAGCAGCUAGGGUAUGGGUUACCCCUAGAGUUACUUUUGAUUGGAUUGGAUAGUACCUAUUUCACAACAUCCAGGAUUGGAUUUAUCA